rnacentral:tRNA from 1 species
CAUUAAGUGGCCGAAAACAAGCAUUAGACUUUUAAUCUAACUAUGAUAUUUUAAAUUAUCCUUAAUGA